rnacentral:rRNA from 1 species
GUAACGGCGAGUGAAGCGGUAACAGCUCAAAUUUGAAAUCUGGCCUCACGGUCCGAGUUGUAAUUUGUAGAGGAUGCUUCGAGCAUGGUCUGGCCUAAGUUCCUUGGAACAGGACGUCAUAGAGGGUGAGAAUCCCGUAUGCGGCCAGGUGCCUACGCUCAUGUGAAGCUCCUUCGACGAGUCGAGUUGUUUGGGAAUGCAGCUCAAAAUGGGUGGUAAAUUUCAUCUAAAGCUAAAUAUUGGCCAGAGACCGAUAGCGCACAAGUAGAGUGAUCGAAAGAUGAAAAGCACUUUGGAAAGAGAGUUAAACAGUACGUGAAAUUGUUGAAAGGGAAGCGCUUGCAACCAGACUUGCGCGCGGCCGAUCAUCCGGUGUUCUCACCGGUGCACUCGGCCGUGCUCAGGCCAGCAUCGGUUUUGGCGGCUGGAUAAAGGCCCUAGGAAUGUAGCUCCUCUCGGGGAGUGUUAUAGCCUAGGGUGCAAUGCAGCCUGCUGGGACCGAGGACCGCGCUUCGGCUAGGAUGCUGGCGUAAUGGUUGUAAGCGGCCCGUCUUGAAACACGGACCAAGGAGUCUAACAUCUAUGCGAGUGUUUGGGUGUCAAACCCAUACGCGUAAUGAAAGUGAACGGAGGUGAGAACCCUUAAGGGUGCAUCAUCGACCGGUCCUGAAGUUUACGGAAGGAUCUGAGUAAGAGCAUAGCUGUUGGGACCCGAAAGAUGGUGAACUAUGCCUGAAUAGGGUGAAGCCAGAGGAAACUCUGGUGGAGGCUCGCAGCGGUUCUGACGUGCAAAUCGAUCGUCAAAUUUGGGUAUAAGGGCGAAAGACUAAUCGAACCAUCUAG